ACUCACAAACAAUGUGGAAGUGAGCAGAGUGUUCAGAGCACUGAGAGGACAGACAGAGAGCCCAACAAGAAAACUCUUCAGCACAUCCACUGAAAGACUGCAAGAGGAGGCUUGAUACACUAAAUCCUACUGAAGACAUCAGGAAGCCAAGAUGGCAGUCAGUUCAUUUCAUCGUGGGCAAUGGGCCUCACAGUCCUUGCGAGUUACAGCAAAGGAGCUCUCUAUUAUUGGUGUGCGAGGCAAAAACACGGCCAUUGCUGAGCGAUUUUCCAACGUUGUGCUUUUGGCUUCCUUUCUACACCUACAGCAAUGACUUCACCAUCCCAAGAACUAGAUUUGCCAGCUGGAUU